rnacentral:rRNA from 1 species
AUACGUAGGGAGCGAGCGUUAUCCGGAAUGAUUGGGCGUAAAGGGCGCGUAGGCGGCCCGGUAAGUCUGGAGUGAAAGUCCUGCUUUUAAGGUGGGAAUUGCUUUGGAUACUGUCGGGCUUGAGUGCAGGAGAGGUAAGUGGAAUUCCCAGUGUAGCGGUGAAAUGCGUAGAGAUUGGGAGGAACACCAGUGGCGAAGGCGACUUACUGGACUGUAACUGACGCUGAGGCGCGAAAGUGUGGGGAGCAAACAGGAUUAGAUACCCUGGUAGUCCACACUGUAAACGAUGAAUGCUAGGUGUAGGGGGUAUCGACCCCUUCUGUGCCGCAGUUAGCACAAUAAGCAUUCCGCCUGGGGAGUACGGCCGCAAGGUUGAAACUCAAAGGAAUUGGCGGGG